rfam:Camelus ferus unplaced genomic scaffold scaffold853, whole genome shotgun sequence.
GAGGGUAUGGCUCAGUGUAGAGUGUGUGCUUAGCUUGCACGAGGUCCUGGGUUCAAUUCCCAGCACCUCCA